CGCGUAGGCGGUUUAGCGAGUGUGAUGUGAAAGCCCGGGGCUUAACCUGGGAAGUGCAUCGCAAACGGCUAGACUAGAGUAGAUGAGAGGGUGAUGGAAUUUCCGGUGUAGCGGUGAAAUGCGUAGAGAUCGGAAGGAACGUCGAUGGCGAAGGCAGUCACCUGGCAUCAUACUGACGCUGAGGCGCGAAGCGUGGGAGCAAACA
rnacentral:rRNA from 1 species